rnacentral:rRNA from 1 species
GAUUCACGGCGGACGGGUGAGUAACUGCCUAGGAAUCUGCCUGGUAGUGGGGGACAACGUUUCGAAAGGAACGCUAAUACCGCAUACGUCCUACGGGAGAAAGUGGGGGAUCUUCGGACCUCACGCUAUCAGAUGAGCCUAGGUCGGAUUAGCUAGUUGGUGGGGUAAAGGCUCACCAAGGCGACGAUCCGUAACUGGUCUGAGAGGAUGAUCAGUCACACUGGAACUGAGACACGGUCCAGACUCCUACGGGAGGCAGCAGUGGGGAAUAUUGGACAAUGGGCGCAAGCCUGAUCCAGCCAUGCCGCGUGUGUGAAGAAGGUCUUCGGAUUGUAAAGCACUUUAAGUUGGGAGGAAGGGCAGUAAGUUAAUACCUUGCUGUUUUGACGUUACCGACAGAAUAAGCACCGGCUAACUCUGUGCCAGCAGCCGCGGUAAUACAGAGGGUGCAAGCGUUAAUCGGAAUUACUGGGCGUAAAGCGCGCGUAGGUGGUUGGGUAAGUUGGAUGUGAAAGCCCCGGGCUCAACCUGGGAACUGCAUCCAAAACUGGCGAGCUAGAGUACGGUAGAGGGUGGUGGAAUUUCCUGUGUAGCGGUGAAAUGCGUAGAUAAAGGAAGGAACAGCGUGGACUACCGCGACCACCUGGACUGAUACUGACACUGAUGUGCGCACCUCGUGUGUCAGCAAACAGUCCUGGGGGUCCCUGUU